rnacentral:rRNA from 1 species
UACAGAGGGUGCGAGCGUUGUCCGGAAUCACUGGGCGUAAAGGGCGCGUAGGUGGCCCGACAAGUCGCUGGUGAAAGCUCGACGCUCAACGUCGAGUCGGCCAGUGAUACUGUUGGGCUGGAGCACUGUAGAGGCUCAUGGAAUUCCGGGUGUAGCGGUGGAAUGCGUAGAGAUCCGGAAGAACACCAGUGGCGAAGGCGAUCACCUGGGGUGUUCUGACGCUGAGGAGCGAAAGCUAGGGGAGCAAACGGG